GAAAAGGGUUUCGACCAGAGCGAUUAUCUCAGGUAAACGCUCGACAAGGUCCACAAUCUAAUGUUUGAUCAUCAAACUACUUGUUGAUUGUGCAGAAUCGCGAUCAAAAGAUUCUGGGAACUCAAUUUUUGGUAUUCGGGAGAAAGAAGAAGAGUUAACCUCUUUUUCAUCUCCCA